AACGAACGCUGGCGGCAGGCUUAAUACAUGCAAGUCGAACGCCCCUUUCGGGGGGAGUGGCAGACGGGUGAGUAACGCGUGGGAACGUGCCCAAAGGUAGGGAACAACUCCGGGAAACUGGAGCUAAUACCCUAUGUGCCCGAGAGGGGAAAGAUUUAUCGCCUUUGGAUCGGCCCGCGUUGGAUUAGCUAGUUGGUGGGGUAAAAGCCUACCAAGGCGACGAUCAAUAGCUGUUCGGUGAGGAAGAUCAGCCACACUGGGACUGAGACAAGGCCCAGACUCCUACGGGAGGCAGCAGUAGGGAAUCUUGGACAAUGGGCGCAAGCCUGAUCCAGCCAUGCCGCGUGAGUGAUGAAGGCCUUAGGGUUGUAAAACUCUUUCGCAGGUGACGAUAAUGACGGUAACCUGAGAAGAAGCCCCGGCUAACUUCGUGCCAGCAGCCGCGGUAA
rnacentral:rRNA from 1 species